rnacentral:lncRNA from 1 species
UUUUCAGUUACGACGAAAUAGCGACGAAAUACAAAGGCCCGCGUUUUCGUUAACGACGUUUUUACGACGAAAAGGGUUACGUGGAAUUAACGAGUUAACCAGUUACGAGGAAUUAGCGAUCCUUUAUUUUCUAUAAAUACCCACAACUUUCCUUCUCAAACCACACACACAAACUCACAAAACACACCCUAUCUCAAAUCACACUCCUCACCAAAAUACUUUUCAAAUUAGAAAUAUUUGAAAAAAAAAAGAAGAAAAGAAGAUAUUAGAAUUUAUGUGGGUGAGACUUAAGUCUCACCACAUAUAAUUCCAGUAUCUUUCUUUUUUUCUUUUUUUCUAGUUUUUAUACUAUGAGGAAGUAGCAAGUCCCGCUUUUCACCAAUUUAGAAAAUUUGGAAAAAAAAAAAAAGAGAAGAAGAUAUUUGGAACUCAUGUGGCCGAGACUUACGUAAGUCUCGCCAAAUGUGAUUCAAGCAUCUUUCUUCUCUUUUUUUUUUUAGUAUUUUUAAUAUUUUCGUCGUAAUAUCGUCGUUAGUUUACGACUCUUUUACGACGAUUUUGGCUUACGUGGAAUUACCGUGCCCCGUUUUUUUAAUUUCGUCGUAAAGUCCUCGUGGCCUUACGAGGUGUUUACGACGAAAUCAUCCUACGUGGAAUUAAAGAGUGCCUUCUUCGUCAUUUACUUUACGUGGUAU